ensembl:snRNA U7 U7 small nuclear RNA
GAGUGUUACGGCUUUUUUGUCUAGCAGGCUUUCUGCUUUUUACUGGAAAGUGCCCCC